GCCUGAGAGGUGCAGAAGAACCUGCUAUGCAGAGGUCUGAAUUGGCUGACCUCAGUCACAGAAAAAAAGCAGGUACAUGCCGAACCACUUACUAAUUCAGGACAAGCAAGCCUGCUGUUCUCCUAGAACACGCUGCACUUGACUUGAUGAGGCAGGAAGAUCGAGAUGACAACUAUACUUGAAUCCAUGCCAUUCCCACUGGUCACCAGUGACCACACCCUCCUAGAAUGUGAUUUCCAUGACAACAAUGACCUUUCUGCAUUGUCUACUCCUGUGAUCCAGCACAGUGCCCGGCUCUUGUGGAAUUCCAGAAUCCCACAUGUUUGCCUCUGCCUCUGCCUGAGAGCUCCAGCUACUGCCUGGGUUAUGUAAACUAGAGACAUAUGGCUGAGAUGGUAAUUCUUACAUAGUUCUUUUUCUCCUGGUUUUGGGAACUCUUUUCUUCAUUGUCUCAAAUCAAGAGAAUUAGGAGGAAGAAUGGGGUCGUGAGAUGUUCCUCCACAAGACAGGAACAAUGCCUGGGGGAGGAAAGUGGCUCAGUUGGAACUUGCAAACAGAGAGGCGGAGAAUUCUGCAGAUGCUGUGGCAGUUCGAACUCCUGGAGAGCCCUUCCUGGCCCAACCUAGCUGGGACGUAGACACUGUGGGAAGCAGAAGAGGAUCAGCCAAUGGCAGAGAACCUGGACAAAGAAAAGGAUGCCAACCAACUGAGGAUAGAGACGUUUCCCUUGGCUCCUCCCGGCAAAGGAUUUUUCAGGUUUCCUGAGCACCAAGGAAGACUCACAAGGCUCAUGGAUGACCUAGAAAAAUCUCACCUGUCCUCUCCAUGUCUCAGCUCCUCAUCUAUAUAAGGAAAAAAGUUGAGCCAGUUGAUGAACCAGAGGUGAUGUCUCUGAUAUCCAUUCAGUUUUAAUCUCUUGUCCUUCAAGGGGAGAGGGUCAGGGGCAGUUGAAUGUGGAGGAGGGCCUCAGAGCAGCCAUACAAGCAGGACAGCUGCUCCCAUUCAGGGCUGAGAAAGCCUAAUGCACGGGUGCAGCUUUCCCAACUGUUUGUUCCAACAUUAAAACACUACUUCCACCACCAUGCCUCCCUCCCAGUUCUCUCCCCAACCACCUGGCCUUCUCCAGACCUUUUAGCGUCCAGAAACUAGAGGACAAUACCUGGCACAAUGUGGUGCAGGGAAGUGGGCAACCAGGAUCUGCUCCAGCCACAACCCUCUCAACAGUGCUCAGUGCCUGCCUUUUCACUGCAGACCAGGGGGACAUCCUGAAAGAGAAAACUGGAGUGGGCUAGUAAAGAAGGAAGGAAGGAAGCAAAGAAGGAAAGAAGGAA